UACGUAGGGUGCGAGCGUUGCCCGGAUUUAUUGGGCGUAAAGGGCGCGCAGGCGGUUGUGUGCGUCACGUGUGAAAUCUCCCGGCUCACCUGGGAGGGGUCACGUGAUACGGCACGACUGGAGCAAGGUAGGGGGCCAUGGAAUUCCCGGUGUAGUGGUGAAAUGCGUAGAGAUCGGGAGGUACACCAGUGGCGAAGGCGGCCGGCUGGGGGUGCCCUGACGCUGAGGCGCGAAAGCGUGGGGAGCGAACCGG
rnacentral:rRNA from 1 species